rnacentral:rRNA from 1 species
CAGCCACAUUAGUUAGAAACACCGGUUCCUGUACGUUCACAGAAGUUAAGCAACAUUCAGCCUGGUCAGUACCUAGAUGGGCAACCGUUUGUGAAUUCCAGAUGCUGUU